CAGACACGGGGAGAAUAUGCAAACUCCACACAGGCGGGGCUGGGAUUGGAACCCCAGUCCUAAGAACUGUGAGGCCAACGAUCUACAGCUGCGCAACAGUGCCGCUCUCGUUUAGAUCAAAGUUGAAAAGUAUAUUAAGAAAUGAAAUACAAUUGAAAAGUGGAUUAUGUAAAUCCAUCCACUUUCAAGACUGCUUAUCCUGGUUAGGGCUGCUGGGCACUCGAGCCCAUCCCGGCUGACUUCAGGCAAAAGGUGGCCUACACCCAAAAAACUGGUCACCAGACAGUCACAGGACACAUACACACCAUCACUGAGUGGGAACUGAACCCACAGUGUCUGCACCAAAGUCAGUAUUUUCAUUGCCAUGGGCCCAAAGAAACACAGCGGUGCUACCAGCAGCGAAGGAAAAGGAAAACCGAGCAGACCACAGUGGAUCUAAGUAAACUAACGAGAAUUACACAGUCAAAUGACAGAGGGGUGACUUCGACACUUCCUGCUUCCCCCUGGAGUACGUCUGAUGCCAUCACACUGCCACCAAAAAGGAAACAAUACACACUUAAGGCAGGUGGUGGCGGCAGUGGAAGACUGGUUAGCACAUCUGCUUCACAGUUUCGAGGCUCAUAGGACCCGGGUUGAAAUCCGGCCUCACUUAUGUGAGGCAUGCAUUUUCUCCCUGUGCCUGCGUAAGAUUUCUAUAGGUACUCUGGUUUCCUCCCACAUUCCAAGAAGAAGCAUUGGUAGGUUAAUUCAAGAUUGUAAAUGCCCGUCGGUACGACGUCAGCUGAGAUAGUCUCCAGCACUCCUGCGAUCUUUGUGAGGCUAAGUGGUUUGGAAAAUAGAAGUAUGGAAAGAAUGUGAGUGUGAAUAGCUGUUUGUCUAUGUGUGCCCUACAAUUGGCUAGUGACUAUCUUAGGGUGUCCCUUCUCUCGCCUAGGGUCAACUGGGAUAGGCUCCAGUAGGUCAAAGGACUUGAGUGAGGAGAAGCGGUAUCGAAAAAAGGAUGGAUGGAUGAUUUUCCAUUUGCCACUUAUGCUGACGAAGUUUAUACAUCAGGUGGCACAAUACAACAAAUGGAGAGGUGAUGCAACAUCUAAAGGUGGCACUAAAGUGCGGAGAUGAUCAAACUGCAGAUGAGUGA